rnacentral:rRNA from 1 species
UACGGAGGGGGCUCGCGUUGUUCGGAAUUACUGGGCGUAAAGCGCACGUAGGCGGCUUUGUAAGUUAGAGGUGAAAGCCCAGGGCUUAACCCUGGAAUUGCCUUUAAGACUGCAUCGCUAGAAUCGUGGAGAGGUGAGUGGAAUUCCGAGUGUAGAGGUGAAAUUCGUAGAUAUUCGGAAGAACACCAGUGGCGAAGGCGACUCACUGGACACGUAUUGACGCUGAGGUGCGAAAGCGUGGGGAGCAAACAGG